rnacentral:lncRNA from 1 species
AAAACUUGAAAGGGGCUCAUUUUCCAGAGUCUUCCAUGAGAAGUGAUCCUGGCUGUUGGUAGGAGUAUGAGACACCCCUCCACAUUAGCAAACCCUAGAUUCUGAAUCCAUCAGCCUAAGUUGUUGCUAUACAAGCAUGAUGACAGUACCUGCUCGGCUUCUGGUGAGCUUUUACUCAUGGCAGAGAGCAAAGUGGAAGCAGUAAGUCACAAAGUGAAAGCAGGAGCAAGGAAGGGGGAAGUGCCACACUUUUAAACAACCAGAUCACUUGAGAACUCAUUUACUGUCAUGAGGACAGCACCAACUCAUGAGAGAUCCUCCCCUACAAUCCAAACACCUUUCACCAGCCUCAUCUCCAACAUUGGGGAUUACAUUUCAACAUGAGAUUUCGGCAGGGACAAAUAUCCAAGCUCUAUCAUUCUGCCUCUGGCACCCCCAAAUCUCAUGUCCCUCUCCCAUUGCAAAAUAAAAUCACGCCUUCCUAAUUGUUCCCCAGGUCUUAACUUAUUCCGGCAUCAAUUCAAAAGUCCAAAGUCCAAAGUAUGCUCAGAUAUCACAAUUUCCUUCUGCCAAUGA